GGCGGCCCAAAUGGUAGAGGUAAUUCUCAAAGGAUUAUUUUUUUAAAAAAAUCCUUUGAGAAUUACCUCUACCAUUUGGGCUGCC